UACGUAGGGGGGCAAGCGUUGUCCGGAUUUAUUGGGCGUAAAGAGCGUGUAGGCGGCUUCACAGGUCCGCUGUGAAAACUCGAGGCUCAACCUCGAGCUGUCGGUGGAAACCGUGUGGCUAGAGUCCGGAAGAGGAGAGUGGAAUUCCCGGUGUAGCGGUGAAAUGCGCAGAUAUCAGGAGGAACACCGGUGGCGAAGGCGGCAUCCUGGACCGGCAUUGACGCUGAGGCGCGAAAGCUAGGGGAGCAAACGGG
rnacentral:rRNA from 1 species